rnacentral:rRNA from 1 species
UUCCGGUUGAUCCCGCCAGACCUGACUGCUAUCGGAUUGAUACUAAGCCAUGCGAGUCUUUGUAGUAAUACAAGGCAGACGGCUCAGUAACGCGUAGUCAACCUACCCUAUGGACGGGAAUAACCUCGGGAAACUGAGUAUAAUGCCCGAUAGAACAUUAUGCCUGGAAUGGGUUUAUGUUCCAAAUGAUUUAUCGCCGUAGGAUGGGACUGCGGCCUAUCAGUUUGUUGGUGGGGUAAUGGCCCACCAAGACUAUUACAGGUACGGGCUCUGAGAGGAGUAGCCCGGAGAUGGGUACUGAGACACGGACCCAGGCCCUAUGGGGCGCAGCAGGCGAGAAAACUUUGCAAUGUGCGAAAGCACGACAAGGUUAAUCCGAGUGGUUUCUGCUAAAGAAACCUUUUGUUAGUCCUAAAAACACUAACGAAUAAGGGGUGGGCAAGUUCUGGUGUCAGCCGCCGCGGUAAAACCAGCACCUCAAGUGGUCAGGAUGAUUAUUGGGCCUAAAGCAUCCGUAGCCUGCUCUGUAAGUUUUCGGUUAAAUCUGUAUGCUCAACAUACAGGCUGCCGGGAAUACUGCAGAGCUAGGGAGUGGGAGAGGUAGACGGUACUCGGGAGGAAGUGGUAAAAUGCUUUGAUCUCUCGAUGACCACCUGUGGCGAAGGCGGUCUACCAGAACACGUCCGACGGUGAGGGAUGAAAGCUGGGGGAGCAAACCGGAUUAGAUACCCGGGUAGUCCCAGCUGUAAACUAUGCAAACUCAGUGAUGCAUUGGCUUAUGGCCAAUGCAGUGUUGCAGGGAAGCCGUUAAGUUUGCCGCCUGGGAAGUACGUACGCAAGUAUGAAACUUAAAGGAAUUGGCGGGGGAGCACCACAAGGGGUGAAGCCUGCGGUUCAAU